UAAGGAUAGGGUAAAGAAUUCGUGAGUCAAAGCGAAAAAAGAAAACGCACCGAAAUUAGACAGCCAGCGGAACAAAGUUCGAGUCAUAACUUUAAGGCAAAGCGACAAAAAUUGUCUGAGGACUCAGCGCGAUUAACAAGAUCGAAAGCGAGAAAACACCUUGCCGAGAAAACACAACAUAUCGUAAGCAUGAGGGCAUCCGAACAACUUGCAAGUGAUUUCGAUUCAUCUAGUAGUGACUUAGAAGCAGUAACGCAACUGACGUCAACGAUAAAUGAAAUUUACCGACUACAAGAAAAAUUUGAAGAAAUAAUUUCUUCCGCAAACCGCAUCAAACCAAAUAAAUCAAUGUGCAUUAUGGAAUGUAAUAGGGAAAGAGCUACCGUUUUAUUGCCAUGCAAUCAUCAGCCAACCUGUAAUCAAUGUUUUGUUCUUUUUAAGGUGUUCUUGAGCGAGAAAAAGACGAACGUUUUUUGUCCGAUUUGUAAAGUUGACGUAUUAACUCAUAUUGCAGUGAAUAAUGAUGUGUAAUCCAAUGUGACGACUAAUGAUUCACCUUUGAUUAAUUUGUAUUUAGUAUUAUUUUGAAGAAGAAAAAACUUAUUUCCACGGAAUGAAUGCAAGACGAAAAUGAGAUUUGGAUACAAUUUGUUUUCUUUGGGGGGAACCAAAUGAGAGAACAAACGCGUUGAGAGCGUACUCGAUUUUUGCCCGAAUCGAAAUUCAGCACACUAACAACAGGAGCAGCAGCAGCAAGCGGAAACCAAUAUAUUUUUGUAAAAAAAGAUAGCCAAAUGUAUGUCCCUAAAUGGAAAUAUCUCUAAUUGAACACCAGCUGGUCCAAUUAUUGCUCCAAAUUGAUGUCAUUUUACGUUGAAAGGAACUAAGCAAAAUGUGUUACCAAUAUUGGUCGAAAAACAAUCAAAAUGACCAUAACAGUGAGCAAUGCUAUUUCAACAGAUUUAAACCAUCUCAUUUGAAUGGAUAUGGAUGAGAAACAAUUGAGCCACAUUAAAAAGAUUUCAUCUGAAAUAAAUUUAUUCAUAAGGGAAUCAUUUAAAUUUCCAAAGCAAAAUCGAAAUUCUUACAACAGACUUAAAGCUACAUAAUCAAAAUGAAUCUCAAAAAUCGGCUGACUAUGUCGUGACGGUUGAAAUUUCCAUCACAUUUUGGACUCAUUGAUAAAAGCACCCCAAGACUAUCAAAUUAAUCACCAUUGAUGACAAACUUAAUUUCAUUAUCGAGCCCAUUUUUAUUUACGUCUUUUCAAUACGAUGCAGUUGUUUUAAACGAGAGAGAAAAAGACCAAGUAAUAAAACAUUAUCAGUAUUGUUGAGACAGUCAGAAGCAAUGCUUGAUGAUGAUGUUGAUUCAUAUAAAUUUAUAAAUACAAAAAUAUUACAACAAAACAAAUUAGGUCAUAUGAAUAAAAUAGCAACUGCAACUGCUAUAUGCCAAUAACAACUCCAUUCAAUAUUAAUAGCGGUCUAUUUCUUGAUUUUUUUUUCCGUUUGUAUAGAAUUAGCGGUAAAAUUUCAUUGAAGUUAAUAUGAUGUCAGUACACGAUGUUCAUCAAAAGAUGAAUGAAUGAAUGAAAUUUGCACUCUGAUGCAAAUGAGGGUGCAUAACUGAAAUAUUGAUUUGGAAAUAAGAACCAUUACUGUUAGAAAUCAGGACAUUUUUUCGCUGUGUUCACUGGGAGUCUAUCAUUGAUAUGAUGUAAUCAAUGGGCUGUAACACGGCACAUGUAUACACAAUGGAGUGUGCAAAACACAAACACAAUGUAUGAAAAAAAUUAUACACAAAUAAGCUUCUGUGACGAUUUUUCACGCAGUAAACAUGAUCAAUAUAAAUACAAAGCAAUGAAAAUUGCAAACGCUUUCAUAUGUUCAUUCAUUGAUAUUCACCAUCAGCGCUCAACCAUAAAUCUGACGCAAACGUUACAGGGGAACCAAUCAGAAGCUGUUUGUAAAAUCAAUGAAAAACCAUUGAAUUUACUGGAAAUUAAACAAAUGCAUACAUUUUUGGAAAAAUCUUUGAAGAAAAAUGUGUUGAAUUACACUUUAUCGCCGGUAACAAAACCCGGCGACAACUAUAACUUUAUGCUACAGUCACUUGAAGUGAAACUACUUCAAAAUGAUUCAUUUGAAAUUGACACGCUAAAAUUGGUAUGCAAAACACCGGCGGGCGUUUCAAUAAGUUCGUCACAUUCAAAGCAAUUUUCGAAUGAGAUGCACUUUUAUUCAGUCAUAGUUCCAGCAAUUGAGCUAUUCGAACAGAAUGCAAAUGUUCCGAAAACUGAACGAAUUGAUGCAUUUGUUCGUUAUUUUGGUGCUAGACUAUCCUUAGAUUCCAAUGUUGAAAGUGCCGAUGGUGAUGCAGUCAUUCUAUUGGAAAAUGCAAAGUCACUCAAUUUCGCUUGUCUGGGUAGAAGAGAUAAAUUUGAUAAAGAGCAAGUUUUAGCCAUUUUGAAAAGAUUGGCCAAAUUGCAUGCACUCACUAUUGCUAUGCGACGUUUAGAGCCAACAAUGUUCUAUUCGAAAGUGGAUCCUCAUUUACACACACGUUAUAACGGUUCCUUUCUUGAAACACUAAUCAAUAUUACUGACAAAUUUGCCAAUAAGUUGCCGAUCACUUUUCCAAAUAUGACGAUUGAGACGCAAAAUACGAUUAAAACUCAAUUGAAUAAUUCGAAGGAAUAUUUACGGAAUAGAAGCAUAAGCUCUGCUCCAGACACACCAUACACGACAUUUUAUCAUAGAGAUUUGUGGGUGAAAAACAUCAUGAUUAAAAAAGGCGGGCACUCAAAACAAUCGAUUCAAGUGAAAAUCUUGGACUUCCAAGCCUACGAUUAUGACUCGUUCGCAUUUGAUUUGACAUUCUUUGUGUUUUACAAUGCCCAAAUUGAAGACUUGCAAAUGAAUUUCAAGUUGUUCAUCGAAUAUUACCAUUCGGAAUUUUUUAACACAAUGCGACUCGUCGAUUGCUCAAUAGAUGAUUACACAUAUGAAAAGAUGUGGCACGAAAUCAAGGACAAAGCCAAACUUAAUUUAUUGAAACUAUAUUUGUAUCUGGCGUUCGAUCAAAUUGAGAUACUUAAAAAUAAUGAAGUGGCAGCAAAUGGCACCGACUUUUACUUGGACCAACCAACACCAGAAAUCAUUUUAAAUCGUUGGAAAUGCAUCAACGAUCUAUACAUUGAAAAUGGUUUCAUUUGAAUUGGUUAAAUUGUUUCCAUAGUUUUAUCUAGAAUUUUAUGAAGAAUGAUGAAAUCAAAUAGUCUAAAUUAGAGCUGAUGCAGAGUCAAAAUGAUUGGGAUCAAAUUAUCAGUUUUGAUUGAAAAAAUGCAUGCAUCAAAAAUGACGCAAAACAUUGUUUUAUUUGGUGUGUGUGUGUGUUGCAUUGCUUCCAAGUGGAAAAAACAUUGCAAAAUUAUCACAAUCCAAUUUAUUGAUUGGCAGUUUGAGUUGCAAUAACUGGGAAAUACCAGAAAAUCGAACAAUUUUAAUUCGCUAUUCAAAAAAGAAACGAUUCUGUCUAUAAUCUGCCCUACAUGCUCUAGAAUUGCCUUAUGAAAAAUCAAUAAUUUCAUUUUUGUAUAAUGCCGCUGCAUUGACUCCUUGACAUCAAGUUAUCAAAUUAAAACAACAACAAAAAUUUGUCGGGUGUACUUUUGUCCUUCAGAAAAACCCAGAAUCAUUUUACAUUCAAAUUGAAAUAUCGUAUAAGAUGUACAGGACACAACGUACGUAUGAAUGUGUGAGCACAAUGGAGCUAAGCAGAUUAGAAUUAUUUUGAAUUAUAUCACGUGGGUAGUAUGACUAAUAUAUACAAUAUGGGAUUCGAUUCAAAGUCUCAUACAUUUCAGUGGCCGCAUCGGAAAGGACGUUAACGUACAACGAUGUUAUUUAGGUUGUUUUUAAUUGGAAUAAUCACCACUAAGUGUAUUGCCAGUGAUGAGCAAAUAGUUCACGAUUCGGAAAACUGUUCGCAGAAUCAGUCACUGUCAAAGUAUUCAUGGAGACCGGCUGGUUACAUAUACCAACCAGGAGUGGAUGAAUUACAUACAGAAAUCGAGCAAUUUUAUGAGCAUAUGCAACUAACGCCAGUCGAACGUGCACUACGAACAAGAGUCAUCGAUCGGAUAGAGUCUUUGGUGCAACAAGUAUGGCCCAAUGCAGAAGUGAAAUUAAUUGGUAGCAACGUUUUAGGGCUAGCGUUACCAAACAGCGAUAUUGAUGUGAUGAUUGUAAAUGCUUCGGGACCCUCGCCAAUACAUCAACUAGCUGAUAAACUGAUGGCCAGUGACAUUGUCGAACCCAAUUCGAUUCAAGUCAGAGACACCCUAAGAGUACCAAUUAUUGAGUUUACGGACGACGAAAGCAAAAUCGACAUUGAUAUACCAUUGCAUGAUGCAGCUACAUUGAAAAAGGCCGCACAAAUCAAAGAAUAUCAACGCAAAUAUCCCGUUUUAUCGAAAUUGGUUCUAGUUUUGAAGCAAUAUAUGAAACUACGUGGUGUCAAUGAUGUGUUCACAGGCGGAAUAUCAUCACAUCCAUUGACAUUAAUGUGCAUCAAUUUCCUUCAAAUGCAUCCAACGUACAGAGCUGACGAAAAUCCAAAUUUGGGUGAAUUGCUCUUGGACUUUUUCGAAUUAUAUGGUAAAAAGUUCGAUUAUGAAAAUUAUGGGCUCACCAUAAGGAAUGGAGGUCAAUAUUUACCAAGAAAGGAGCUACCAUGUGGAAUAUUCAAUGGACAUUACCAGUUAUUUUGCAUUGAAGAUCCAUUGGUAUGGGUGAAUGCUUGUGAUGACGCAUAUCGUGCAUCAGAUGUGCGACAGGCGUUUAACGAUGCCUAUAACAUCCUGUCAUCGGCCAUUUCUGCCAAUACUCGAACUAGCACAAGCGAAUGUGCAGAUAACACCAUAUUGGGCCGAAUUAUUCAUGUUACGAAUGAUUUGAUUUCGUUCCGAAACUGGGUUCGAAACAACUUUGAACAUCUUCUGAAGAAAAAUUGAAUCGAAAACUAUACUGCGGACAUUGUACUAGCUUGUCUUGGAUUCAGAAUAUCAAACAAACCAAAUGUAAAAAAAAAACACUUUGACUAGCUCCAGAAUAAAGUCUUUGGACUAAAGCUUGCCGACAGCUUAAAAUA